GAUCUGAUUUCUAGAGCUUUCUAUCUUCUCUCUCUUAGAUUCAUAUAACAGUCAUUAAAUACCAUUAGGGUUCUUGAAUAAUAGGCAUUUCAAGCUAUUAAAAGGUAUAACUUAAGACAAGUUAAGGAGGACAACCUUUACCUUGAAGAAUUCAAGUCUUAGUAAGUGGUAGUUAUGUCCAUCAAGUUCAGGGGCGAAAGCCUAGCACGGGCCGAUCCUAAUUGGUAUGGAAGGGUGGCAGCUCAGGGGCGAAAUCCUAGCAUGGGCCGAUCCUGAUUGGUAUGGAAGGGUGGCAGCUCAGGGGCAAAAGCCUAGCAUGGGCCGAUCACAAUUUGUAGAAUUAUGAUGACAACAUCCUAGGGGUUAAAAUGCGUAGCAUGGGUCAUCCUCUUCUACCGCUGAUCAGCUGGUCAUUUGUAUCAUAUGUUGUAUAAAGAUUAUAAAGUACAGAAAAGUAAAGAAAAGAAUGUCACAUGCACGAUUUCACAAGUACAAAACAAAGGUACAAGUACUCAACUAGUAGAUUUUCCCAAUAUAAGCACAUUAUACUCAGCAGAUGUUGGUGAGCUUUAGGUUGAUUCGGGGAUUUUCUGAAUCUUUACUAUGCGUAUUUUCAUAGUGGUACCAUUAUGGAUUCCAGUAGACACUUUGUAGACAUUGUAAAGUUAUCAUCUGUAUUCAUAGUUUUGACUUGUCACAUAUUGCUGUUCACCUAGUCAAUAUGUGUUGUAUAUGAAGCUUCAUCAGUAAUCUGCAUAGUAUUUUAUUUUCUCAUCAUAGAUUACUUGAAAAGCAUGUGGUCAUAAGGUACUUGUCCGCCUCACCUAGGGUUGGGGCUGACAAAAGUGGUGUCAGAGCAGUUCGUCCUAGGGGGUCUACAAAGUCGUGUCCAGUAGAGCCUUAGUUAUGAAUGUGUUGCGCGCCACAUUUAUAACCAGGGGGCUGCUUAGACAUUUAGGAAAUGUUACCUUCCUUCAUAAUCCUAUUCGUGCGAUAGAGCAAAGUUAAGAAGCCAAUUUCCAGUUGUACCGGAUCAUGCUAUUCAUAUUAACUAUGGUUAAGGUUAACGAUUUGUUACAGUGUCAGCAUGUAACAUACAGAAAGGACCUCAAGUUAUCGAAAGUUUGACUAGAUUGAGCUUAUUUUUUCGUCCAUCUCACUCCACAAGGUAUGUUGGCUUUUAUGUUAUUUGCAUUUAAAGUUGCAUUUGUACCAUUUGCAUCAUGUUGGUUCAAAAAUGAAUGUUACCUAGUUACAUAUAUUUGUUGUAGCAUUUCCAGGCAUAUCCUCUUAGGAGGAUGUAACAAGCUCUUGAGUUCUAUAUUUCCUCCAUGCUUACAUGAUUUAUUCCUAUAGAGGACACUUGCUCUUAGUCUUUGAUAUACAUAGAAUUUUCAGCGUUGCACAAGUUCUCGAAAUUGAUGUAGUCAAACCAGUUUCUUUUAGUUCAAAGAAGCAAGUUGCACAAUUUUAUAGAUGGAUGUAUCAGUGCAAUAGUUUUACUACAGAUACCCCUAAUUGGCUGACAAAGCUUAUUCUCACUGUAUGUCUUCCCGAGUAUGUUAAUGUUUGGCAUUUAUAUGGUAUGGGCCAACUCUGAUAAGUACUAAUAACAUUUGUAUUCUUUUCAUUAUUAUAAAACUUAGGGAUAAGAGUGACAAUUGCUGCAAAUGAUAUAUGUGUGGUGGUUCCUUUUAUGAUCUAUGUGUUGGCAAUAAAGAAUUAGUAUGUGCCUAAAGGGUAAGGAUAACAAAAAGAAAGUUAACUGGUUUGAACUAAGUUAUGAUUAGUUGGUUGAACAUAAUGGAAUCUAGUACAUGAAGCUGCUAGUUUUGAUAAAAAAGUUACUUGUUAGAUAGGAAGCUUGUGAGAAUGAAGCUUAAAUUACACAUGCCAAAUAUGUACAAACAACUUCUCAUUAGAAAGAGAUGGAAUAUGUCAAAUUGUCUAAAAUAGGAGUAGGGGUGAUAUGAGGAUGCUAUAGAGGAGUGAGAUAGAAGGUUAUGAGAGAGUGAUUGCUAAAUUGUAUGCGAUAAGAAAAUGUUAUCAACUCUUCAACGCUAACAAGUUAUAAUGGCGCACUGGGAACAAUUUUGUGAACCUUUGUCACACAGAGAAGUUAAUUUACUAUCGAUUCAAGUUUUGAUAUUUAGUCUUGAUAACAACAAGAAAAAAGGAGGUGAAUUUCAUCCACAUAAUUAGUACAAAAAUAAGUAAAACAUUAUACAUAUGUAUAGACUUCCAUCAGUCCUUGUCCAGUUAAGGGAAAUGAAAAAAAUUGAUUAUAUGCAUAUUGCUAGUUUUUCUUAUUUGCUAUCUUGCAUGGGAAAAGAGUCGGAACACCCUCACUUAUUAUGAAAAAAAGUAAGAAAUCUUUUAGUAUGGUUAGACCUAUCUAGUUAAGCCAAAUAGGCUAACUCUAAGACGUUAUGAAUCAUGAUAUAACUUUAUAGGUACCUGACAUUUACAUGUUAUUAGAUUUCAUAUUUCAUGGUGCAUUCAAGCUUCACUAUUUUUUUUCCGACCUUCAAAGAGCAUCAGGCAUUGAGUGUGAUAUAACACAAGCUAGUCAUGAAGGCAAAAUUGACCUCGGCCUCCUACUCUAAAAGAUGAACUAUUUUUUUUGAGGAUUUUCUUUUUCAAUCUCGACUGUACUAUUUAUAUUGACCUAGAUGGAAGCCCUCUCCCAAUUGCAGAACACUAAUAAGAAUUCUUAGGAGAUUGGAGAGAGUACAUGGGAUAUCAAUUGCAUGUGUUUUGAGGCGAGUUAGGAAUAUGAGCAAAACUAUCCCACCUGUAACUUAAACGCUUAAGACAGUGUGUUUACCUUAGUAUGGUAGAAUAGUUCUAUAAUAUAUAUCGUAGUUUCCAAAGGUGAUUUGUUAUAUAAUUAUACAUGCUGCAUGUUCUAUAACUAAUCUAUUUAUAUGUAAUUUUCCCUUUGUGGAUAUCCUUCUCAUAGGUUACCUAACGUCAUGGAAUGCUUACAUGCAAGAGUUACUCGCUUCAGAGCACCCUUGUUUAUUGUUGUUUUCAUAGGAACUUUUCCUUACAUGUUAUUUAUUGCACUGGUUACUUCCCACAUGCCAUUUGACAUUAUUGUACGGGGAAUGCAUGCUAAUUAAUCAUAUAACCAUUUCUAUAUAUUUUUCAUACCAAGUAGCCUAGUUGCUUACACAUUUCAGGACUUAUAGCUUUUCUGGCCAUGUGUUAUGUGCUCACUUGUUCAUAUUUCAUAUCUGCGCUCAUUAAUAUGUUAGUCCACCUAUCCAUGCAAUACGAUGCACUUGUUCGAUGUGAUUUGCGUUUCGUAGUUCAUUUUCUGAUAUGUCUACAUGUCAUAUCUACUACAUGUCUUAGCUUAUGUACUCAUGCAUAAUGUGAUCAUCUAGUCCAUUCCAACAUUCCUUAUAGUUCAUUCGCUCACACUCUGCCCUAUAACUCAUAUGCACACGUACACCAUGUAUUUCUAUAGCUUAAUGCCCGUAUACCUUGCACUCUCCUUUUUGGGCUAGUCUGCCUAUGUGCCAUGCCCAAUGUGACUUAUUCAUCCGUAUACUAUGCCCCUCUCUAUGCUUAUUGAUUUGAGUUUUGAACAAUUUGGGGAUAUAUUUUUUUGUAUCAUUAUGUAAUGAAGAUUUUGACCAGAAAAGGUUGGGUAUAUAUGUAAAUUAAAUCAACCAUAGAUAAAUAACUUAGCAUAAUACCCUAUUGGCAGGAGCGGCAUAAAACUUAGUUUUAUAUUAACAACUAUGCGUUCUUAAAGACUUACGUCUGAAAAGCGUCAUGAAAUAAAAGAGUAAGAAAAGUAUUGCCCCGAUAGACUAUGAUUUUAUGUGUCCGUUCAUAUACAAAAAAAAUUGGGAGAUACUACAGUUAUUCUUAAUUGUUAAGGCCCAGAAGCUAAACUCAGAAUGUGUAACCAUAAGUAUUAGGGAAGGAAUAGAAUAUAACACAAGAUACUUCGGAAUAGAACAUGGUAGAAAGAUACUAAGUAACCCUUCUCAUUCUAAACAUCAACAUAAGGAUCUGAGAUCAUGUGGUCCCCUUAUCUGAUCAUGAAUCCUACUAGAAUUUGUUCAUUUGUUGUGUCAUUUGCGUGUCUUGUAUUUAGGUAUAUUACAGUCCUUAUUUGUAUGAGUCCUACUUGUAUUUCUUUAGUGAAUUACAUGGUAAAGAAGGGGUUUCAUUUUCAUAGUACUAUUUCAUGA